ACACAAGAAGGAAAAAAAAAACUCAAAAUAGAAAGACAAAUAAGAAGAGUAAAUGGCAAGGUUGAUCCAUAUGCAGCUCUCACAAAGGCUUUCUCAGGAUUUGGUGUGGAUGAGAAUUGUGAGGAUUUCUAUUGAGGAAGACAAGCCUAUCAUUCCCUUUUUGAACACUGCAUUGAGGAAGAAAUUGCCUUCCAUAUCAAAACUCCCGAAAGAAAGCUUCUAGUUGCUCUUGUGAGUUCUCACCGUUAUGAAGGGCCAUGAGUUAACAAAGAUCUUGCAAAAUCUGAGGCUACGGUGUUUGUGAAUGCAAUAAAAAAUGUUAACCAGAAGAAGCUGAUUGAGGAUGAAGAGAUUGUGAGGAUCCUCUCAACCAGAAGCAAGCUCCGUCUUAAGGCCAUCUAUAACCACUACAAGGAAAUUACUGGCAACUUCUUGGACGAGAUUUUGAUCUCGUCCUUAAGCUUGGAUGUGGAUGAAGAUGCUAAAGACAGUGACUCGAGUCCUAGUUACAAGAGCAGACGAAGACAUGAAGCAAAUCAAAGAAGAAUUCCAGAGUAAAUAUGGAACUACCUUGCCUGCUAAGAUUAAAGAAGUUG